rnacentral:rRNA from 1 species
GUAUUUUUUUUGAAAAAAGUAUAAAAUGAUAAAUAUUUUGAACGUUGAGGUCCGUGUUGUAGUUUUAGCUGUUAUAUAAAUCUACAUGUAAGUAAGGGCUUGAAAAUGAUUUUCUUUUAGAUUGAAUUUUGAAAUUCUCAGUAGA